AGGUGGUAAAUCCUGGCCAAGGCUCCUCGAGCCAGGCCGGCUGGCAGUGCUGCAUCGUGCUGAAGGCGCUGAGGUUGCAGCGGAUGCAUUCCGGGCCAGUGAUAUGAUGUGGACAGGAAAAGUCUUUUGUUCUGGGAAAAUGGAGGACUGAAACCUCUUCAUGUCUUUUUCCCAGGCCCUGAUUUAGGAAGACCAAAACAGGGACUUCUACAGUAGCAGCUUAAUCAGCAGAUGCUGGGUGGUCGCCUCUGCACAUGGCCUGGGGGGCGGGGCGCCUUACCGCGUCACACUGGGUGGAUGGGCCUGUGUGUGGCCUCUCUCCAGCUGUGGCUGACAGUACUCACUCAGCCCAGGCUUCCAGGCCCUCCUGGGCCCUCCUAUCCACUGAAGGAAAUGGGAGAUGAGUGGGUAAUGGAAAAGCCUUUGGAGUCAGAUGUAAAUCCAUGACUUGACCACUUAUUGCUGUGAGACCCUGGACAGCUGGAUAUAGAGUUCUUGUUCUAGCAUCCGCCCUGGGAAUCCCCGGAACUGGGCCUCUUACCGACACCAUUGCCUGUAAUCCACAAACCUAGGAGUUACUCCAGUUACUGUCCUACUGAAGGACCCCCAUCCCAUCUGGGCUACUAUAACCACAUGGACCAUCCCUUGCUUCAAUCAUAGAAUUCUUUCUUCAGAUCAAAGUAUAUUCAGACACUCGAUACAGUAACAAAAGCAAGCUAUCCUGGAAGGAAGAAGGAAUCAGGAGGCAGAGCACAUGGUUAAAGCAUGAGAUGUGAAACCAGGAAGAACCAGGUCUGAACCUUAGCUCCACCAGUGGUAGCUUCAAACCUUGGUCCUUUCUGAGCCUGCUUCUUCAACCGUAAGCUCAUCCCCUAUUCUCUUCUUGCAAUCGGGAUGCUGCCUGACUACCAACACACCUGCACAAAGCCCUCUGCAGCACCUGCCACUGGCCCAUGCUUUUGUCAUUGCCACCUCCAGCUCAGCCUCAUUCCCCUCCAGGCUCUGCUCCAACGCACAGGACCACAGGAACUCGGAAACGGGACCCAGAAAGUUGUUUUCUCAAGUGGAUGGAACAACACAAGCAAUCAGUAUCCUGAAACAGGCCCUGUUCCAACAAACUGACCCAGAAAGCAAGUAUGAGGACUCCUGUUUCCCUACGUACUCACUACUACAGCAAAGAUAUCAAACAUUGAUACCCACCAAUCUCUGGAUGGAAAAACAAAUCUCAGGAAUCGCUUGCAGGAGGCUCUGCACGUUCCUCAGAUUCAGAGUCGCUGUCCUUUUGCCUGUGAAGCUCCUCACUUUCAGAGUCACUAGCAUUAAGAUUUAAGGGCUCAUCGUUCUCAGAGUCUGUCACAUGAUGUCCUUUGGGGAGGCCAUCUUCUCGAUCACUAGUUUCAUUCUGAAAAAUAAAGUGAGAAAAAAUUAGGAAAGUGCAAAAAAAAAAAAACCAUUAAU
rnacentral:lncRNA from 1 species